UACGUAGGGGGGCAAGCGUUGUCCGGAAUCAUUGGGCGUAAAGAGCGUGUAGGCGGCUCGGUAAGUCCGCUGUGAAAGUCCAGGGCUCAACCCUGGAAUGCCGGUGGAAACUGUCGAGCUAGAGUCCGGAAGAGGCGAGUGGAAUUCCUGGUGUAGCGGUGAAAUGCGCAGAUAUCAGGAGGAACACCAAUGGCGAAGGCAGCUCGCUGGGACGGUACUGACGCUGAGACGCGAAAGCGUGGGGAGCAAACAGG
rnacentral:rRNA from 1 species